UACAGAGGGUGCGAGCGUUAAUCGGAUUUACUGGGCGUAAAGGGCGCGUAGGCGGUGAUGUGAGUGUGAUGUGAAAGCCCCGGGCUCAACCUGGGAAGUGCAUCGCAAACGACAUGACUGGAGUAGAUGAGAGGGUGGCGGAAUUUCCGGUGUAGCGGUGAAAUGCGUAGAGAUCGGAAGGAACGUCAAUGGCGAAGGCAGCCACCUGGCAUCAUACUGACGCUGAGGCGCGAAAGCGUGGGGAGCGAACAGG
rnacentral:rRNA from 1 species